GGAUGUGAGGGCGAUCUGGCUGUGAUAUCUGUCACCCCAUUGAUCGCCAGGGUUGAUUUGGCUGAUCUGGCUGGCUAGGUGGGUGUCCCCUUCCUCCCUCAAUGAUCCAUGUGCUUCCCUCCCUAAGCUGCGCACUCGGUCGAAGAGGAUGAUCACUCCCGAUAGAGGAGGACCAUUCCUUGGUCAAGGGUAUACGAGUAGCUGCACUCCCCUACUAGAAACUCCAAACAAGCUCUCAAGAUUGUUUCCUCAUAUUUGGGAAGUUUUCUGCUAUUACUUCUGCCCAUAUUUUUUUAAAUGUCAUUUGUAUUG
rnacentral:snRNA from 1 species